rnacentral:rRNA from 1 species
GAUGAACGCUAGCGGCAUGCUUUACACAUGCAAGUCGAACGGUAACAGGCCGCAAGGUGCUGACGAGUGGCGAACGGGUGAGUAAUGCAUCGGAACGUGCCCAGUCGUGGGGGAUAACGCAGCGAAAGCUGCGCUAAUACCGCAUACGAUCUAUGGAUGAAAGCGGGGGACCGUAAGGCCUCGCGCGAUUGGAGCGGCUGAUGUCAGAUUAGGUAGUUGGUGGGGUAAAGGCUCACCAAGCCAACGAUCUGUAGCUGGUCUGAGAGGACGACCAGCCACACUGGGACUGAGAGACGGCCCAGACUCCUACGGGAGGCAGCAGUGGGGAAUUUUGGACAAUGGGCGCAAGCCUGAUCCAGCAAUGCCGCGUGCAGGAAGAAGGCCUUCGGGUUGUAAACUGCUUUUGUACGGAACGAAACGGUCCUGGUUAAUACCUGGGGCUAAUGACGGUACCGUAAGAAUAAGCACCGGCUAACUACGUGCCAGCAGCCGCCGUAACAC